rnacentral:rRNA from 1 species
UGGGGAAUUUUGGACAAUGGGGGCAACCCUGAUCCAGCCAUCCCGCGUGUGCGAUGAAGGCCUUCGGGUUGUAAAGCACUUUUGGCAGGGAAGAAACAGCCUGGGCUAAUAUCCCGGGCGACUGACGGUACCUGCAGAAUAAGCACCGGCUAACUACGUGCCAGCAGCCGCGGUAAUACGUAGGGUGCAAGCGUUAAUCGGAAUUACUGGGCGUAAAGCGUGCGCAGGCGGUUCGGAAAGAAAGGUGUGAAAUCCCAGGGCUUAACCUUGGAACUGCACUUUUAACUACCGGGCUAGAGUACGUUAGAGGGGGGUAGAAUUCCACGUGUAGCAGUGAAAUGCGUAGAGAUGUGGAGGAAUACCGAUGGCGAAGGCAGCCCCCUGGGAUGAUACUGACGCUCAUGCACGAAAGCGUGGGGAGCAAACA